rnacentral:rRNA from 1 species
AUUGAACGCUGGCGGCAUGCUUUACACAUGCAAGUCGAACGGUAACAGGCCUUCGGGUGCUGACGAGUGGCGAACGGGUGAGUAAUGCAUCGGAACGUACCCAGAGGUGGGGGAUAACGCAGCGAAAGCUGUGCUAAUACCGCAUGUGAUCUGAGGAUGAAAGCGGGGGACCGAGCAGCAAUGUUUGGCCUCGCGCCUUUGGAUCUGCCGAUGUCGGAUUAGCUAGUUGGUGGGGUAAAGGCCUACCAAGGCGACGAUCCGUAGCUGGUCUGAGAGGACGACCAGCCACACUGGGACUGAGACACGGCCCAGACUCCUACGGGAGGCAGCAGUGGGGAAUUUUGGACAAUGGGCGCAAGCCUGAUCCAGCAAUGCCGCGUGCGGGAAGAAGGCCUUCGGGUUGUAAACCGCUUUUGGCAGGAACGAAACGGUGUCCGCUAAUACCGGGCGCUAAUGACGGUACCUGCAGAAUAAGCACCGGCUAACUACGUG